UUUACAUUUAUUGAGUAUAGUGUGACCAAUCAAAUUAAAUAAAUUUAUUUUUGAUUGGUUAAGUUAUAUCUAACCUAUUUAAUAUACAAUACUUUUUAAAACAUAAUAAUUUUCUUAAUCUUUGUGCUUUUAGCCAAAACUACUUACAUUAUAAAAUGGAGGGAGUAGCAUUUAAGAAAAGGAUUAGCAUGCAGAUGCAAUUGUUAUCUUUAAAUCUGUUUAGUGUAAGGCUUCUUAAAUGUUGAAAAAUUCUUAUGGGUCCAAUCACACAUGGCUGGCUGCAUUGUUUAAAGUUUCCCAAUUAUAACCGGCGCGAAUAUGUAGCUUUUCUUUAAACAGGCUAAGAAUUCCACGUUGCACCCACUCAUUUUAUUGAAUUCCUUUUUUUUUUUUUUUUUUUUCAACAAACUUAUAUUGAUAAUGCCCUAAUGGGCUUUUGUACAAGUGAAGAUACAAUAAGGUUCAUUACCCAUAAGUUACAAUCUCGAAAUUUAAAUAAACCUACAUGGUAAAGUCUAAUUUAUUGACUUUGCCAGCAUCUUCGAGAAAGACACGUCCGCAGGACGCGCGUCCAUCAUGCAGAAAUUCUUCAACUCACGCGUCAUCACACGCUUUCAUAUCAAGUUUGGAUACGCGCCAUCGCACGCGCCGCUGCUACAGUCGGGUAAUUGGCACGCCACUCCUCCAGCAAAAUUCACACAGCUUGCUCAAGCUUCCAUACGUAAAUAUAGGGGUGUCAAAAUGGGUUGAAAUUAAUGGGUUGACCCAAACCAAACCAAUCCAUGGUUCUAAUGGGUUAACAAUUUGGAUGUUAAUGGAUAAAUGGUUUUUAUGGGUUAAUGAGUUUAGUGAGCUGGAUUAAUAUUGGUUUGGAUCAAAAUGGUUUAUGGAUUAUCCAAUCCAACCCACUUUUUCUCACAUAAUUUUUUAGUCUCUCUCUCUCUUUCUUCUCUCACGAGACGCUCUCUCUUUCUCGAUCUCACGAGACCUUCAUCAUCGAUCACGACAUCGAUCAACCCUUUUGGGUCAUUGCUUUUGGGUUAUCGAUCGCAACACAUCAACUCAUCUUCCUUGUGAGUCAAACUCUAUUUUUUUUUCAAUUUGGCUUUAUGGGUCACUGAUUUUGCUGAUUUGAGAUCAAUUUUGAAGUAAAUUUUUCUGGGUUUGAAAGUGACUUUCAUGGAAGGAUUGUCUCAUUGUUUGGUUUAUUUAUUUGUAUUGAUGUACCUUUGUUCUUCUUGAGUGAUGAUUGAAGCUAUUCAUGUUUAGUAUCCGAGUCUCUUUGUGAUGUUUUGAUUGUAGAAUGAGUUUUGAAUGUUGCUCUUUUUCAGAUCUUCACUACCAAGGAGACCAAACACUGAGUAUCACCACUACUCUUCCACCAGCGUUGUAAGUUGGAUUGUAUUUGAGUUUUGAGUUGUGAUGUCUUUGUAUACUCGAUUUGAUCAUGCGUAUGAUAUUUUGGGUUAUACUAGUCACUUUUUAUUGGAAAAUGACUAUACUUCAAAAUAUAGUUUCUGGUUUGAUAUUUUUUUAUUGGAAAAUGAUUUUUGCGUUUUCAAUGUUUUCAAGUUGACAAAGAUGAUGAAUAAUGAAGAUCUUCUAAACAGUGGUGGCCAAUCAUCCACAAGUGCAUCACAAACGGCUCUAGUAAGUUCUAAUCAUUCAAAAAGAACUAAGAGAUCAACUGCUUGGGAUUAUUUUACAAUAGAAAAAGAUGAGAAUGGCCAAGAGAGAGCAUAUUGUAAAAAGUGUCCAAAGAACUAUGUGUGGUUGCCAACUAUGUGUGUCAUUCUCGUUGGUUUUAUUGCGAUACUAUGAUUCUUUCUUUGGUAGUGGCUGUUGUGUCCUCAAUAUAAUUCAACAAGAAAAGCACUUGUGAAAAUCCCUUUUUGAAACGAGUUUCUUUUUGGAUU